UCCUCCUUGAGUUCUGCCACGAGGCAGACCAGGUCAUCCACCUGCUCGCACCUCACGCACACAGUGUCUCUGCCCCCCGCAGGUGCUAGCAACAGGCUCAGGCACUGCCUGUACCCGGAGACCUGAACUGCCGCAGUUUUGAGCGGGCAGUCGGUCUGGGUGUGAACAGACCUACUGGAGAGCGCUCUGCCUGGUGUACACCAUUGCAGCUGAGCUAGCGGUAGAUCGCCGUUAGAGGAGGUGUUCAUAUGGGCGGGGGGGAGCGCUCUGCCCUGCCUGCUCACCCUGCCUGAGCUAGCUGCCAUGCCAACUGCCGCGCCACGCCCUAACUGCCGCGCCACACCCUAACUGCCGCGCCACACCCUAACUACUGUGCCACACCCUAACUACCAUGCCACGCCCUAACUUCUGCCCCAUGCCCUAACUUCUGCGCCACGCCCUAACUGCCACACCACGCCCUGCUUGCCCAUCCUGCUCGCCGUGCUCCUGGUCGCUCGCGCUCCCUAGGGGCAGGUUUUGAAUGGCCGGGGAGGGCGCUGCUGGCUCUGCCUACGCCUCGUUCUUGCCUCGUUCACCUCCCUCGCGGGGUCCUGGCGUCUCCCUCUUGUGGGCUCGGUACCGGAAAAGUUAGCCCUGCCUGUCCGAUCCCCCGCUCCGCUGCAGAAUGCAUCUGGCCCAUAGCCAGUGGCCUCGGCAAGUGAUGAUGGACUCGAGUGUUUCCAAGCUGCCAUGCCUGGGCGUGCACCCUGACUGUGUCUCAGCACCAUCUCCGGGUGAUCUCUCCUGGCCGUCUGCCAGCAGCAAUCCUGGGGUUUCUGGGCAGCACUGGCUGUAGCUGAGCCUCACCACCCUGGGCUAGAGGCCAAGUGAGGAUUCCUCAGAUUGCACCUACUGCUCUUUUUAAGACUUUCCUCUUAAUUAUCCGAGUUUCCUACUGAAGCAAGUGGAAGGUGCGAAGGAUCAAGCCAUCUGCACAUCGAGCCGUAGAGCUGGAGCUGGUGCUAAGACUUGUGUUCUUGGCAUUUGCGUUUUGCUCCAGACAAGUAAAAACUGCAGCUCAAAUGAUGCUAAUAAGGUCACCGUUUCUCCAGAAGGAUUCCUGCAGAGACGAUUCCAUUGAGGCGGGUUUCUCACCAGUGGAGACUCAGUACUAUUAUCCUGUAAUUAAGAGGACACCUGCCGACCUAAUGUGUAUGAAAUAAAGAAACCUUCUGUAUCA
rnacentral:lncRNA from 1 species